rnacentral:rRNA from 1 species
UACGAAGGGGGCUAGCGUUGUUCGGAUUUACUGGGCGUAAAGCGCACGUAGGCGGAUCGUUAAGUCGGGGGUGAAAUCCUGGAGCUCAACUCCAGAACUGCCUUCGAUACUGGCGAUCUUGAGUCCGGAAGAGGUGAGUGGAACUCCUAGUGUAGAGGUGGAAUUCGUAGAUAUUGGGAGGAAUACCGGUGGCGAAGGCGGCCAUCUGGGAGGAUACUGACGCUGAGGAGCGAAAGCGUGGGGAGCAAACAGG